rnacentral:lncRNA from 1 species
GGGGUGCCUUUCAGCAACUCCUUUCUACCGAACUGGGGGGAGAAGUACUACCAAUCCUUUACCGAGGGAUGAUGCUUGAAGGUGUAGAAGUUCCUAAACAAAGGAAGAGUCGGCUGAACUUCGACUAAACUACAAAGGGAAAGAAACUCUAUCAAAAAAUCUAAAGGAGUUCGACACAACGAAAACUAGAGAAAUAUUCAGAAAAUGAAAGAGAGCAACAACAAAGGGCGGCAGCGGG